GGGCGGAUAGCUCAGGUGGUAGAGCACGUGCCUCACAUGCACGGGGUCAGAGGUUCAAGUCCUCUUUCGCCCACCA
rnacentral:tRNA from 1 species